ensembl:lncRNA
AUGAGUCCUGAAGCAAAGGAUAAAGAUCAUAGCAAGUCCAUAAGUCAGAUGAAAGAACCCAUCUCCGUGGAUGCCUGUCAAAUAAUGCUUGUGAGCCAAGAGGAAUCAUCCUUCAAGUUUCAUGAAGGUGAUGAUGUUUACCAAACUGCAUCAGAUUUUCAAAAGGAGAGGAAAAAGAUAGAUGAAAAGGAGCAAGAAAUGGGUAUAAUAGAUAAUAUGGAGGAGGCUGUGACAAAACAGCAUGAAGAGCUGAAGGAUAAUGAUGAAGAAAAGACAGAGGUCAUGCCACAUGAAAUGGACACCACAAGAGGGAUGAAGAAAAGUCAUAAGAGGAGUACAAGAACAAUCAUGUUCAGGCACCUGGAGAAAGACAGUCAUUCAUUGGCAGUAGAAAAAACUGCCCCAAAUACCACAGAAGAAAUGAAAGCCAGCAGCAAACAACCUAAUGAAACAACUGUGGAAGUGAGUGUUCUUAGAGGAAAUACCAAAAAGAUAAUCACUGAAACACCUAAAUGUAAAUACAGUAAAAUAAAGGUAAAGGCAUUAUGUAAGAAAACAAAUGUAAUAACUGAUAGGGUUGCUGUUGAGGAAGUGAAAAGUAAACAGGAAGAAAAGGCUGAAAAUACAGAACUAAUGACAGUAAAAGAUAGAGUGACCACAAGUAUUGAACAGGACAUUGACGUAGAGAAUAUCAUGGAUGCUGAGGAUGACACCCCAGUUCUGGAAAAAAUCGCCCUGUGUGGGAAAAACAAAACUGCAACAGAUAAAGAUGAAACUUCUAUGGAAAUUGUAGAACAGGAAAGGGGAAUUAAAGGAGCUAAGAUGGAAAAUAUUGAGAAAGUGGCAAAUGAGAAGGCAAAUACACAAGAAAGUAAGACUGAGGAAGAGGAGGAGGUGAAAAAGGAUGAAAUUUUAGUAGUAAAACCAGAUGAAGUAGAAUUAUCAGGUGAAGAAAAGGAUGUUGUGGAAGAAAGCAGAAAAGAGGAUAUAGAAGCCUCAACAGCACAGGCAAAUGUGGCAGAAGAGACUAUAGUUGUAGAGGAAAGAGUUCUCAGGAAGCGGUCAGUAGAAGUAACUAAGAGAAAAGCUAGUCCAAGGAGAACACCUAAACGUAAAUCGAAACAACUCAGCAAACAACCAAUAAAAGAUUACAAAGAUGAUUUUCGAACAACAGAUGGGGGUGAGAGGGAAGAGCCCAAGUCCACAGCCACUGAGGAAGACUUGGAAGCCUUAAAAAAAACCUUGAAUGUGGGUGAGGAAUCAAAUACCCUAGGAAAGAGAGCACUUAGGCCUAGGUCACAAAAACUGAAGUCUAAUCCAAAGGUGACACAUAAAUCAAAAUGUCUCAGUGAAAGCCUAGUACAGGACUUCAAGGGUGAUCUUUCAGUAACUGAUGAGGAGAAGGAAGGGAACAAGACCACAACCACUGAAGAAGAGACAGAAGUUUCAAAAACAAACCUGAAUUUGGAAGAGGAGCCUGCUACUGCAGAAAAAAGAGUUCUCAGGAAAAGGUUGGAAAAAGUAAAGGCAAACGCUACUUCGGAAGUGACACCAAAAUAUAAGUCAAAACUUCUCAAAGAACAACCGAUACAGGAAUACAAUGUUUAUCUCUCAACAAUGGAUGAGGAGGGAAUUGAGGAAGACUGUACAGGAGGAAGAGGAAGUGGACAGGAGAAGAAUGAUGGAUCAUCUGAACAGAGGAAUUUAGAGGGACAAAAGGAGAGUUUAGUAACAAAAGAGAUGAAUAAAGGAGAGAAAAAAGCUGUGGGAGAUAACCAUACUGGAGAGAAGAAAGAAGGCAAAACUUUGGUACAUAAAACUAAUGAGAUAGCUGUAGAUGUAGAUUUGUUUCAAGAGAAGACAGAUAAAGAGAAGGAUGCAAUAGAAGACGAAGAAACGGGGGAAGAGAUGGAAGUCUUAACAACAGACCUGAGCAAGGCAGAGGAAAUGAAUGUUGUAGGAAAGAGAGUUCUUAGGAAGCAGACAGAAAAAAUAAAAGGAAAGGAAAGUCUCAGUGCAACAACCAAAUCCAAAUGUCUCAGCAAGCAAACAACACAAGAGACUAAGUGUAGUUUGCCAGCAUUGGAUCAGGAUGGAGAAGAGAACAUUGCAAGGGGAGAUGGGGAAAAAAUGAAGGAGAGUGCAGAAGAGGAAAGUAUUUUGCAAGAGGAUGUACUAGAAAAUAAUGAGAGAAGUACUAGUGAAAAGAAGUUUCAUAAGGCUGGGGAUGAAGAAAAUAUGGAAAAGGAGGUAGAAGACGAACAGAAUGCAAAGCAGAAAGCAACAGAUGUUGUGGAAAAAGAAGAGCAUUAUGAGAUGGAAAUGCAGGAGACAGACAAAGCAGGAACUAGCAUAAUCACAGUAGAUGAAACCUUAGCAAGAGGGUUGGGUGUAGCAGAGGAGCCUAUGGUUGAAGAAAGGAGGGGAGAAGGUCUUCCAGAACCAAAUGAGGAGGAGGAAGAGGAGAAGGAAGAGGCAAUCAUGAAAAAGGGAGAAAAUAAAAAUAUGGAGGAAAAAAAUGCUGAGAAAAAAGUUGAGGUGAGUAGAGCUAAGAAAGGAGUGAAUAACAAGGGAAAAGCUGGUGAAGAAGGAACAAAACAGGAAGGAAAGAAAGAAGUGGAAAAUGAGUUGGUUGAUAUAGUGGGGGAAGUGGCAUCUGAAAAAAAUGAUUCAGGUGAAGUUCAGGGAGGAGAGCUGGUAAUAAGAAGUGAAGAGGAAACCGAAGCCUCAGAAGACAGCUUGAAUGAGGCAGAAGUGCUAACUAUUGAGGGACAGACAGUUCUGAGAGAAAGCGAGGAAAACAUUACAAAGGCCACUUCCGUAAGCAAAUCAACACAAAGCAAAAAAGGACCAUUAAAGGAAUUCAAGGAUAAUCUACCUGCAGAAGACAAUAUGGAAAACAAAACUAAACAAGUGAAACAGAAAUUAGAAGGAGAAUAUGAAGAAGUUGUGACAAAGGAGAUAAAUUUGGAGGUAGCGAUGAAAGAUAAUAUGGAGAAACCGGGGCAAACUGAAAAGGGAAAGGUGGAAACGUGUUUUUUGGAGGAAAUUAACAAGAAGGGGAGAACAGAAAAAAGGGUGGAUGAGACAGAAAAAGAGGUUGGGGAAAAUCCCAUUGAGGAGGAAGGAGUGAAGGAACAUGUGGGUAGUAUUACUGAUAAAAGGGUUAUUGCGGUGGAUGCAAACAUGGAGGCUGUGCUCGGAAAACACAAGAAUGAAGAUUAUAUUGAGAAAAGGGAAGCAGCAGCAAGCCAGGAAGCAGCAGCUGAGGAGGAAGCCAUAGUUUCAGAGAUGAGUACUAUUGAAGACGAGGACAGUGAGCCUAUACUUUUGGGAAUGAGAGUUCUAAGGGGCAAGGCAAAAAUAUUUCAGAUAACACCUAGGCACAGCUCCAGACAACACAGAAAGCGGGUUUUGAAAAAUGAUGAGGAAGAAGAGAAUAAUGAAGUGGAACAACAAGAAAGCUGUAAGGAAAAGGUCACAACAGCUGAUGAGGAACAUGUAAAGAAGAACUCAGCUGAAGCUAUCAUGUCUCCCGUCUUGAAAAGGAAACUUCCAAACAGGAAAUGCAAAAUAACCCCACCGUAA